GACCCCAUGGAGUAGCGGUUAGCUCACCUCCCUUUCACGGAGGCAGCACGGGUUCGAAUCCCGUUGGGGUCG
rnacentral:tRNA from 1 species